GGCAGAGGGUGCAAACGUUGUUCGGAUUUACUGGGCGUAAAGCGCGUGUAGGCGGCUUUGCAAGUCGGAUGUGAAAGCCCACGGCUCAACCGUGGAAGUGCAUCCGAAACUGCAUGGCUCGAGUCUCGGAGAGGAAGGUGGAAUGCUUGGUGUAGAGGUGAAAUUCGUAGAUAUCAAGCAGAACACCUGCGGCGAAGGCGGCCUUCUGGACGAUGACUGACGCUGAGACGCGAAAGCGUGGGGAGCAAACAGG
rnacentral:rRNA from 1 species